rnacentral:rRNA from 1 species
GACGAACGCUGGCGGCGUGCUUAACACAUGCAAGUCGAACGAAGAGCGAUGGAAGCUUGCUUCUAUCAAUCUUAGUGGCGAACGGGUGAGUAACGCGUAAUCAACCUGCCCUUCAGAGGGGGACAACAGUUGGAAACGACUGCUAAUACCGCAUACGAUCUAAUCUCGGCAUCGAGGGUGGAUGAAAGGUUGCCUCUACAUGUAAGCUAUCACUGAAGGAGGGUAUUGCGUCGGAUUAGCUAGCUGGAGGGGUAACGGCCCACCAAGGCGAUGAUCAGUAGACGGUCUGAGAGGAUGAACGGCCAAAUCGGGAAUGAGACAAGGCCCAGAACCCUACGGGAGGGAGCAGUGGGGAAUCUUCCGCAAUGGACGACAGUCUGACGGCGCAAAGCCGGGUGAGUGAUGAAGGCCUUCGGGUUGUAAAACUCUGUUAAUCGGGAAGGAAGGCCUUCUUGCGAAUAGUGAGAAGGAUUGACGGUACCGGAAGAGAAAGCCACGGCUAACUACGUG